rnacentral:rRNA from 1 species
GACGAACGCUGGCGGCGUGCUUAACACAUGCAAGUCGAACGGUGAAGGGAUCAGCUUGCUUGUUCUGGAUGAGUGGCGAACGGGUGAGUAACACGUGAGUAACCUGCCCCCUUCUUCUGGAUAACCGCAUGAAAGUGUGGCUAAUACGGGAUAUUCUGGGUCUGUCGCAUGAUGGGUCUGGGAAAGAUAUUGUUUCGGUGGGGGAUGGGCUCGCGGCCUAUCAGCUUGUUGGUGGGGUGAUGGCCUACGAAGGCGGUGACGGGUAGCCGGCGUGAGAGGGGGGACGGUGACACUGGGACUGAGACACGGCCCAGACGGCUAGGGGAGGCAGCAGUUGGGAAUAUAGCAAAAUGGGCGCAAGCCUGAUGCAGCGACGCAGCGUGAGGGAUGGAGGCGUUCGGGUUGUAAACCUCUUUCGCCAGUGAAGCAGGCCUGCUACUUGUGGGUGGGUUGACGGUAGCUGGAUAAGAAGCGCCGGCUAACUACGUG